UGUGUAUAUUCUGUUUUCCUACUUCCUCAGUCAUUCCACUUCAUGAUCACCCUGGCCUGACUGUUUUUAGCAAAGUUCUGUAUGGUUCUUUGCAUGUGAGAGCUUACGAUUGGGUGGAGCCUUCCCACGAAAGCAAGGGAUCAAAUUACUUUCCAGGAGAUGAGAUGACUCGAAUUUUCUGGAAAUCAAUCAAGGAUAAGCUUAUUCUCCCCUUUUUGGAUUUGGACAUUAAGUACUUUGACCUUGGUCUUCCUCACCGUGAUACCACUGAUGAUAAAGUUACCGUUGAAAGUGCAGAGGCUACUCUUAAGAGGAUUAGAAUGGGGCUGCUCCAGCUAGAAGUGUUCUGGUGUGGAUCCUAAUAUAUAUUUGAAAGUAUGCUUAGGCAGCAGCUGUGGUUGAUAGUCUGGCCAUCUUUUAGAAGUGAAGGUGCUGCAGUGCUGUUGUUUUGGCUUACUCUUGAUUGCUGCUUGGUUAUAAAUGAUGGGUUUCAUAUUGUAAUUUGAUAUUUUUCGGUGCAUAAUAAUUGCUA